rnacentral:rRNA from 1 species
AUUGAACGCUGGCGGCAGGCCUAACACAUGCAAGUCGAACGAGUGGCGGACGGGUGAGUAAUGUCAGGGAAAUUGCCUGAUGGAGGGGGAUAACUCCUGGAAACGGUAGCUAAUACCGCAUACCAUCAGAUGUGCCCAGAUGGGAUUAGCAAGUUGGGGGGGUAAAGGCUCACCAAGGCGACGCUCCCUAGCUGGUCUGAGAGGAUGACCAGCCACACUGGAACUGAGACACGGGCCAGACUCCUACGGGAGGCAGCAGUGGGGAAUAUUGCACAAUGGGCGCAAGCCUGAUGCAGCCAUGCCGCGUGUAUGAAGAAGGCCUUCGGGUUGUAAAGUACUUUCAGCGGGUAGGCGUUACCCGCAGAAGAAGCACCGGCUAACUCCGUGCCAGCCGCCGCGGUAAUAC